rnacentral:rRNA from 1 species
UACGAAGGGUGCAAGCGUUAAUCGGAAUUACUGGGCGUAAAGCGUGCGUAGAUGGUUUGUUAAGUCGGAUGUGAAAGCCCCGGGCUCAACCUGGGAACUGCAUCUGAUACUGGCAGACUAGAGUGUGGUAGAGGAUGGCGGAAUUCCCGGUGUAGCGGUGAAAUGCGUAGAGAUCGGGAGGAACAUCCGUGGCGAAGGCGGCCAUCUGGACCAACACUGACGUUGAGGCACGAAAGCGUGGGGAGCGAAC